rnacentral:rRNA from 1 species
GCUCAUGAUGAACGCUGGCGGCGUGCCUAAUACAUGCAAGUCGAGCGAACGGACGAGAGUGCUUGCACUCUUUGAUGUUAGCGGCGGACGGGUGAGUAACACGUGGGUAACCUACCUAUAAGACUGGGAUAACUUCGGGAAACCGGAGCUAAUACCGGAUAAUAUUUUUCUCUGCAUGGAGGAAUAGUGAAAGACGGUUUUGCUGUCACUUAUAGAUGGACCCGCGGUGUAUUAGCUAGUUGGUGAGGUAACGGCUCACCAAGGCAACGAUACAUAGCCGACCUGAGAGGGUGAUCGGCCACACUGGGACUGAGACACGGCCCAGACUCCUACGGGAGGCAGCAGUAGG